AACGAACGCUGGCGGCAUGCCUAACACAUGCAAGUCGAACGAGAUCUUCGGGUCUAGAGGCGCACGGGUGCGUAACGCAUGGGAAUCUGCCCUUUGGUUCGGAAUAACAGUUGGAAACGACUGCUAAUACCGGAUGAUGACGAAAGUCCAAAGAUUUAUCGCCAGAGGAUGAGCCCGCGUAGGAUUAGCUAGUUGGUGUGGUAAAGGCGCACCAAGGCGACGAUCCUUAGCUGGUCUGAGAGGGUGAUCAGCCACACUGGGACUGAGACACGGCCCAGACUCCUACGGGAGGCAGCAGUGGGGAAUAUUGGACAAUGGGCGAAAGCCUGAUCCAGCAAUGCCGCGUGAGUGAUGAAGGCCUUAGGGUUGUAAAGCUCUUUUACCCGGGAUGAUAAUGACAGUACCGGGAGAAUAAGCUCCGGCUAACUCCGUGCCAGCAGCAGCCGCGG
rnacentral:rRNA from 1 species